rnacentral:tRNA from 1 species
GCCUGGCUGGCUUAGUCGGUAAGCAUGCAGCUCUUGACCUCAGAGUUGUGGGUUCGAACCCCACACCAGGUG